UGGGGAAUCUUGCGCAAUGGGGGAAACCCUGACGCAGCGACGCCGCGUGCGGGAUGAAGGCCUUCGGGUUGUAAACCGCUUUCAGCAGGGACGAGGCCUUAUGGUGACGGUACCUGCAGAAGAAGCUCCGGCUAAAUACGUGCCAGCAGCCGCGGUAAUACGUAUGGGGCGAGCGUUGUCCGGAAUUAUUGGGCGUAAAGGGUACGUAGGCGGUCUAUUAAGUCAGGUGUGAAAGCGUGAGGCUUAACCUCAUUAAGCACUUGAAACUGUUAGACUUGAGGGAAGGAGAGGAAAGUGGAAUUCCUAGUGUAGCGGUGAAAUGCGUAGAUAUUAGGAGGAAUACCGGUGGCGGAGACGACUUUCUGGACUGUUACUGACGCUCAGGUACGAAAGCGUGGGGAGCAAACAGG
rnacentral:rRNA from 1 species